AUGUUUGUUCGUUUACUAGACAGUAUGCUACCAUGUUCUAUCAUGCGUACAAUUUGUGUGUGUGCCGUCUACCGUGUAACACUGUGUGUUACUUGUCCCAUUUUGUUUGUGCCAGUGCCUUUAAAUGUAUAUGUACUAAAGUUAGUCGAGUACAGUUACUAUCGAAUGGCACAACAUUUUGAUGCCUUACGGUUAAAAAGCUUAUAUCCUUUUGGUGUUUGCAAGGGGUCUGCUUGUGUUGCAUUUUCUACACCUGAGAAAGCAUCUCAGGCUGUAAGUUUGCAUAGCCUGAUUGUACUAUAUGUACUUAUGUUGCAUUUAUGA
rnacentral:rRNA from 1 species